GAGGGUAUUGCCCAGUAGAGUGUAUGCCUAGCAUGCACAAGGUCCUGGGUUCGAUCCCCAGUGCCUCCA
rnacentral:tRNA from 1 species